rnacentral:lncRNA from 1 species
GCCCAGAGCUCGCCAUUGGGCCUCGCUCCCGGGGUCCCGCGCGCCGGCCGUGCUGAUUGGCCGCUGGGGCUUCAUUCACGGCCCCCCUGCCGUCCGCGUACACACUCACGCCCCGGGGGCGCGGCCGCCACGUGGGGAGUGGCGCGGGGGUGGCACUGGGACCGCACCCCCUCUCGUCCUGGCUGCGUGGGCCCAGCUUUCCCCCCUCGCUGGAGACUCCGAGCCCGGCGGGUCCCACACUCCACGCGAGCUGAAUUCCCGCCCGUCUUUGGCAGGGGCGGCCGGAGGCGGCGGCGAGGAUGGCGGGCUCCGGGAGGCGCUCGGGCUCCGAGAAGCCGCUCAGCCCCGCGCUCCUCCCUCCGCAGUGCCGCUGCAGGCGGGCCGGGAUUCCGCGGGUCUCGGGAGGCUGCGAGCGAGCGGCGGCGCGGGUCCCCAGCUCGGUUCCAGAGCGGCUGCUCGCCUGGGCCGCCUCGCCUCCCGCAGCUUCCAGCGGGCACGGAGCUCUCCUCCGCGCGCCUCUCCGGCCCGUCUCGUUUUCCCCCUCCUUCCGCUAGACCCAGUGCCGCAACUCCGCCGACCUCCGCGGCCCUGAGAGCGCGUCGGCCGCGGGCAGAGUCAGACCCGCUUCACGCCUCGCGCAGGCUCCCCUUCUCCCGGGCACCGCGGCGCAGGUCUCGGAUGCUCCAUGAGGACUCUUGUGGAAGGAAGGUCAUUCUUCCAGCCAAGACCAAGCUGAUGAAUGGGACUGUCUCCCACUUUAUGUCUACACUGGGCUAGCCUCCUUAUUCCUCUCUUUCUUGCUAGCUAAUGCAGCCCAGCUUUGGAACAGUAACCACCUUCAAACGACCCAGUAAUGACAUUCCUAGGGUGUUGGUUGGGGUAUGUGUGCAUGGGGAUGAGGUCACAGGACUUCUCCUCCCGUCCAGUGCUAGAGUGUGGGGUUUGAGGUAAGACUUAGUGGACCUGGUCCUUAUAUCAACCCACUCCUUCCUCUGAUCCCCCCAGCCUCCUCUCCCUAUACAGAGCCAGCUGGGGUAGCCUGAGCAUCACUAUCUGCUGUGCCACAGAUGGCACAGAUGCCCUGUACUCCUGUUCAUGUGCCUCAUUCAUCGUCCCACUGAUGUGCCCUCCUCCCCUCCAUGCAGUAGUCUAGCCUGGAGUCAGGGGGCGGGACAGAAAGAUAUAGCUCCUUAGCUGUUACAAGUUGGGAGGGUCUGGAGACAGUUGGCUGGCUCAGCGCUGGCCUCCCUCAGCUUUCUCGGGAGCAGCAGGUGGAGGGUGGAAGUGGUGAGAGAGGAUUUAGGAAUUAUAUUUUCCCAGGGACCUCUUAGCAUCUUUAUGUAUCUCUGGUGGCAGACAUCUGUCUGAGCUUAGGGUAACAUCUGCCUGGGCUGGAGACAACAUCUGUUUGGGGCUGGGACACCUGGCUGAGCCCAGCACAUUAUUUGGCCCCGGGACAGCUUCUGUCUGGACCGAGGACAUGUGUCUGAACCUGGCACAGCAUCUGUCUGGGCCCGGUGCAACAUCUUCCUGGCCUGGGGGCAAUGUCUGUUUGAGCCCUGGACAUCUGUCUGACUUGGGGACGUCUGCUGAGCCUGGAACAAUACCUGUCUGUGCCUGGGGGUGGACUUGUCAUUGCAGAUAAAAUCACCGUCGAGUUUCAACUUUGGUUUGUAGCUGAGAACAGAGUAUGUGCCAGACUCACGUCCCUGCCCUCCUCUCUACCAGGGAAGGGCUCUUUGGUAGAGGGCCUCGUUUUACCUCCACUUGUAAGGUCGUUGGGCUGCUUGCUCUGGGGACCUCCAGGGACAGACAAAGCUGACACCCCAGUGCUCCGGGAAACCAAAGUUAAAAGAAUGUGUAAGCCAACAGGUCAUAAAUUGUAGUGACUGGUUAGGAUGGUUCUCCCUUCCUCCGGUCCCUUUGUUGAGUUGAAUCAGUGUGCUCCUCCAAGACACAACACAGACAUGUCACUUGCCUCCUGAGAAGCCUUCCAUUGCUCCCUCUUGUGGACAUCAUCAGGUCCAAAGCCCCCAGGGGCCCUGCCCUCUGAAUCCAGCAGCUUUGAGCUUCUGUUCCCACAAACACCCCAGGCCCUCGCGACACCCUUCCUUUGCACAAGCAGUUCCCUCUCCUUGGAAUGCCCACCUCCCCAUCACACUCUUCAAGUCCUAGUUCAAGGGUCACCUGUUCUGGGAAGUCUUUCCACUCUCUCUCUCGACUAUGCCACUGCCUCUGCCCUGCUUCCACACUGUGUCAUGCAGGUCACCUCUGUGUUAGCAUUUAUGGGCAUGCACAGCCAUUGCCAUCCACGUGUCUGUCUCUCCCAUAGGGCUGUGAGCUCCUGGGGGCAGCUGGCUCCAUUUCAUCUCUGUCUCCCCAGCACCCUGGUCUGUAGUGAUACCAGUAAAGGAUGCCUGCUUAAUGAUCAUGUGGUUGUGCUGCUGUGAUCUCAUUUCCUUCUUUUUUCAAAUGGGUGGGGUGGGGGGACACUGGCUUUCAGUCUCGGAAGAUGUGGGCUCCAGAGAAGAGGGCCAAUCUUCGUAUUCAUACCUGGUUUGUUGACUGAAGCUAAAGGUGCUGGGGAAUGGGCCGGGAGUGCCCUGGACGGGGCCUUUGGGAGCCUGGUCCUGCCCAGCAUCCUUUAUCCACGACGAAGAUGAAGAUGUAUAGGAUCCAAAGAUUCGACCCUUUUGACAGGAGCCAGGCAGGAGCUUUAAGGUCGAGGGGUGGCCACGAAUCCCGACCUAACAGCCUCUCUGUAGGCUGAAGGCUGUGUGCGUGGCACUAAAUCUAAGAAAGAGGACCUUUGCCUGGGUCCAGGCCCAAUCCUGAGGGCAGGUGGGAGAACUGAGGCCUGGCUUCGCUUGUAUGGAAAAGUUCCAGGGUUCCCACCUCUGCUUGUCCUGCCAGAGAGGGAAAGUCACGUAAGGUCUUAUUAAUAUAAACCUUGUGUCCAGAGCAGACUGCUCUCCCCGGUCCAGCCUACCGGGCCCCUGGCCAGGUUCAGAGGGACGCAGAUCCCCAGGAGAGCAUCUGAGGAGAGAGGCCGUGUAGGGAGGGGUGCAGAACCAGGAGGAGGGAGCUGAGGAGUUAAUGCUCCCGGGACAGUCGCUGCCUUGGUGGCUUUUAUGCCACCAAAUAGGAAAAUCUUUCUUGUUUUUGCUGAUGAUAAAACCAAUACAGGUUUGUGUGUCAAAAUUCUUUACUUCAGAAGUAUGUGAAGCCGAAAGUGGAAAUCCUCUGUUAAUCUCUCUGCCUUGCCCCUCGCCACUGCUCCUAUUGGCUAUACCUUUCCAGAACUUGUUUGCAUGGACCACACUAUUUAAUAAUGACAGCUGAGAUUUAUUGAGUGCCCGCUCUGUGCAGGACUUGUGCUCAGUGCUUCCAUCUGGGCUUGCACGGUGUGUCCUCAUGAGAACCCUGUGAGUCAGGUGUGACAAUUCUUCCCAUUUACAAAUGAAGAAACUGAGGCUCAGAGCGAUAUUAAUAAUAAUAGCCAUAUAUAUGGGGUGCUUCCUACAUCCAGGUACCAUUCUGAGCACUUUACACGUUACCUCCUUUAAUGCCUAUUGGAGCUGGUGUGUAAGAGGAUAGCUGGUGUGUAAUAGGCAAGCAAUAAAUGGUGGUUGGUGCCCCCAACUUGGAAGUUCGAGAAUCUCCGAUGAUGAAUCUGGGAUCAUUCGAUGGGUCUGUAGAUGGGAGGGCUCUUGUCCCAAACCUCCUGAGCCACAGGCAGCCUCCCUGGUGCGUGGGGAUGCUGACUCAGCAGUGAAAGAUGUAAAUUCCUACCUUGGUUUGCAUAUGAUUUACACGUUUUUAUUUAUGAGUGUCUUUGAUUAAUGUCAAAGUGCCUCUGUGAUUUUUCUGCCAGGUGUCAGGGCCCUGCAGAGGGCAUGGCUGGUGUAGACUGGCCGCAGGCUCUGAGUGUGCACGUGUCAGAGGCUGCUGGGUGGGGGAAAGUGAC